ACGGCAAUAAUUAGGUUUUGAACCGUUUCCUCUCCAAUCCCUUCCGUGACGUUCCUUCUCCCCUAUCCGUUGCAGAGUUCCUUCUCUUCUCCUUUUUGCGUCGUUCGCUCUAUUCCGCACUCCUCUCCCCUCCCCUCUCUUCCCUUCCAUCCCCUUCCUCACCUUGCCGCACUCAACAACGGCUCCAUCCUCCACGGGAACAGCGGCUUCCUUCGACGAAAUCCUCCAAGGCAAGAACACCAUCAGCGCCUCCUGCAAGGAUGAUUCCCAAGCCAUAGCCCAGGUUUUCGGACGAGAAAAGGACCUUAUGGGAGGAGGAGGAGGCCGGGGGCGGUGGAGGAGGCGGAGGAGGAGGAGGUAAGGAAGAAGAAGGUGCGGCUCCGGAUCUAUGGCAACGGAUCUCUUCUUCGAUCGCACCAACGUGGUGCGCACCUUCAAGUGCAUCUCCCGCCACGGCCAGGGCCCGCGCCUCCUCGCCCGAUUCCCGAACGGACGCAUUGAGGAGUUCAACCACAUUAGGAUAAUGGAUGAAUUCAUGAAUGGGAUUAUGAACCAGAUCUAAGAAGCCAAGUUCACAUUUUAUUCAAGCCGAAUCGAAAGAGCACGAGGAGAUUGAGAAAAUUACACGUGUUGGCGGCGGCGGCGACGACAGGGCGCUCUGUACUUCUUGACAAACAAAAUGAAGUGGAUACUUCUUGGCAAGUAUGCGCUCAACAUUGCAUAUUUGAUUAGGCAUAUAUUCUAUAAGGCACUUUUUAUCUCUUUUGAUGUUAACUUUGCAGGUACCUAUUUGCAAUUUCUAUCAAGUCUUCAAUCUUUUUUUGUUUA